AUUGAACGCUGGCGGCAUGCCUUACACAUGCAAGUCGAACGGUAACAGGUCUUCGGAUGCUGACGAGUGGCGAACGGGUGAGUAAUACAUCGGAACGUGCCUAGUAGUGGGGGAUAACUACUCGAAAGAGUGGCUAAUACCGCAUGAGGUCUACGGAUGAAAGCAGGGGAUCGCAAGACCUUGUGCUACUAGAGCGGCCGAUGGCAGAUUAGGUAGUUGGUGGGAUAAAAGCUUACCAAGCCGACGAUCUGUAGCUGGUCUGAGAGGACGAUCAGCCACACUGGGACGGAGACACGGCCCAGACUCCUACGGGAGGCAGCAGUGGGGAAUUUUGGACAAUGGGCGAAAGCCUGAUCCAGCAAUGCCGCGUGCAGGAUGAAGGCCUUCGGGUUGUAAACUGCUUUUGUACGGAACGAAAAGCCCCGGGUUAAUACCCUGGGGUCAUGACGGUGCCGUAAGAAUAAGCACCGGCUAACUACGUGCCAGCCGCCGCCGUAA
rnacentral:rRNA from 1 species